AUCUUUAGUCAUUUUGUGCCUUAUAUAGAUUCUUGAUAGAUGAUAGGCCGUUAAUUCUAUAAAAUAACAUCACUUUUGUUUAUCCCAUUCCCAGGCUCUUCCGGAGACCACCAUCUGCCUGGUAAUCAGAAAAGGACCCCAUACAUUAUUACUAUUCGCUCCCCCUUUUUUAUUUACUAAUGUUCAUAUUUUGUUUGUUUUCAUCGCACCUUUUUUAGCCCUAAAAAUAGAAUAUUUUACUAAUUACACCAUUUGUUUGUAAUUUACCAAGUGUAAAAACACUAAUACAAAAUGGCGCUGUGUAAAAGCUGUCAGUGGGAGCCGCGCCGGCCAAUCGUAACAAUCUGUAUUGGAUUUUUGGCUCGAGAGGUUUUUGUAUUGAUUUGUAUUGAAUAUUGUAUAUUGAAUAUUCUUGUGCAAAUGAGGUUUUCGCACUCUUAUUUGCAUUCGUUCUGCGGUUUUAUUCCUUCGUGUUUUUUACAUUGGAAUCUUUUAAUAAAUAAGAAAUUUGUGAGAUUUUUGUGGGAGAAUUUAGAUAAAUCUGCCGGUAACUCGGCCCAGUAACAUGGUUCCCUGAUCCCCUUCCAUAUCGGCCUCUGUGCAUCCCAUGUUUGUAUCCCCGCGCCACUUUUCCCAGUGAAUCUGAUCUAUUUUCCUCUCUUAAUCAGGUUCCGUCGGUUGGUUGUGGCGACACCACCUGCCCAGAGCCACCGACCCCUGGUACCGACAUCUGCCAGGUAAGUAGUAAAGGAACUAUUUUAUUUUCUGAGUUAAUUAAUGAUAAUGAGCUACAGAACUAUAGUAAGUUGAUCCCAUAACUAAUCGUAUCGCUCUUCAUCAGGAGGAGCCAGAGCAGGUUGCUGAGCCUGGCGAGGAGAUUGAGGAGCGCCCAGAAACACCCGGGGCUCAGACUCGCCAGGAGGAACCAGCUGACAAUCCCUCCGACAUUAACACCUGUCAGGUAAGUAAAAGGGAAGGGAGACAUAUUGUGAAAAUGGCGCCACUCAGUAUUAUAUUAUUUUCCU